CGGGGGGACGGGACUGUGGGGAGGGAGGCUCCCCGGAACGAUCUGUUUUCCAAAAACGUUUAUUUGAAAAUACAAAAAACCAGAAAAACAACAACAAAAAAAGCCAGUUCCUCCUCCCCCACCCCUUUUGUCCCUCUUUCGAGAGCUUUCUGCCCUCCCCUCCCCCAUGCGCAGCAAGUGCCCCCUCCCCCGCCACCCGCGCGCCCCACCCCGCCGGGAGCCCCGGGGCCGGCGAGUGGGCCGCGGACUCACGGCGAGGGGGCGAAGCGUGAGAAAUCGCGCCCAGCCCAGAGCGCCCGCCCCUCCCCCAGCGCACACACUCGGGGAAGUUUAAAGAGCCGGUUCGACCCGCUUUCCGUUUCGCUCGGGGUUGGCUAGUACUGUGGAUCGCUCGGGCCGGCCCAGCGCUUAUGCGCACCUACUCGCCGCGACCCCGGAGCCCCCCAACUACGUACAGGGGUCUUCCGGAAAGUACGCGGGAAGCCCGCGUCCGGCCCCCUCCCCCAGCACCACACCCAGCCCCCUCCACCCCCGGGAUCGGGCACGGGGACUGGGUCGGGACGCCACCGGCCGAACCCGGUAGCCCCGCGGCAAGUCCUGCUGCCGGCGGCGCCCCCUCCUCCCCGCCCUGCGCGCCAUAAGGCUGUAGCACGUCUCCAGUGCACAGCUGCGUGAGGAUGGGCGGACGGCAGAAAAGGAGCUUGUUUUCAAAAGUCUUACUCAGGUUUGGAGGGAGGAACUAGGGGAAAAGAGGAAACGAGGCCUGCCUUUGUCAGGAUUCGAGGGGCCAAGUGACUGGGGGGCGACAGGUCAGCGCAACGUGCUGCGCGAGCCCCCAACUCGCCCGAACCCCAGACACCUAGGCUAGACCUGGGAUCUUCCCGCCCGCGAGACCCUUCUCCCCACGACCGGGCCUUGAGGGGAAGUCGGCCAGGGUUUCCACCCCAGACCCUAGGGUCUCUCGGAUGGGCCAACUCGUAGGGACAACACGAGUGUGUGAAAGCGAGAGGGAGACAAAAAUAAACAGGAGCGUUCGAGUCACCCACCCACCCUCACUUCCCCUAGCAGUGGGCUCGCGCCCAGCCUGCCUGUUCCCACCGGUGUAAGUUUCCUCCUGCCAUACUCCCGCCGCUGCCCAAUCCAUAACGGCGACGGCCAGACGAACUGCCCAUCCCAGAGCUGCGUGCCAGCCGUGCCCGCAAGAAUGUAGACCGGGCCAGUCCCCACAGCAGCACCAGCUCUGGGCACCUCGGGUCCUGAUAAAGUUUCCCGUGCCCAUUUAUUAACCAGGAGCCGAACGGCUGCCAGGGAGCCCACCCCGGGAGAAGCAGGGAUCCGGAGGUGGGGUAGCUGGUGCCGAUGGGGCAUCAGGGUGCCAAGGCUGGCAUCUGGGGAGGAAGCCGGGGGCCAGGGGCUCACCGGGACGCAGCCUUCGGGCAACUUACACUAGCGAUCGCUCGUGGUUGGGGAGGCGUGAGGAUUAUCUGAGCAUUUGCACACUCCACAAUCCCUCCCCCUCCUCCUAAGAGAAACGAAGACGCGCUUUAAACUCGAGCCAUCUCCCAACUCCGCAGCAGCCGGGUCCCCACGCGCUCUCCCCGGGGGCCUUGGGCCACAUUGAUCAGAAACUAAACCGGACCCGCGAAUCCCAAAACUUAUUGUGAGGCAGCCCAUCUCCUCCCCUCGAUCAUCUUUUCCAUCCAGACGCGAGUCGUGGGAGCUGAGAGCUCGGACGAGGGUGAGAUCGCCGCGUUCCCUCCGACCCGAACGCGUGCGCCCCGCCGGCCCCCAGCUGGGUGCACACUCGCACGCACACCCUCGCACCCAUACCCGCACACGCGGGAGCACACGCACAGAGGAUCCUGCGCCAGCGAAAUUCAAUCAAUAAACCCCGAACCCACGGCCGCGCGUUUUAGGACUUUGAAGGCUCAACCAGCUCCGCUCGGUUCUCGAGCCCCCAGCACCCGCGGCGCACACUAACCUGAUCGCCGUGAAGGCGGGACCUGCGGCUCCGGCGUGGAGCGGCGGCAGCACGAGCCAAUCGAGUGGCGAGGCUCCGGAUGCCAGCCAAUGGUGACGGCGGCGGCGGGGGGCAGGGUCCAAUGGGCGGCCUGCGCAGCGGGCCAGGGAGGCUCAGCCAUUUGGCUGUGGUGCCGGAGACGGACCCCUUUAGAUACCCGGGCGGCCGAGGAGGAGCGCGGCUGCAGCUUGGUGGCUGCGCGCGGGGGGCGGGAGGGAAGGCAGGGCAGGUGCGUGGACCUGAAGGUUCGUGGCCGGGGGCGGGGCCGCAGGUGCGUGGACGCGGGAGGGGCGGGGGCAUCCUCUAGGUGCUUGGCGGGCGGACGAGGCCUGGGGCGCGCGGGCGCCGGGCAGGCCCAGGGAGGGCGCGCAUUCUGGGAGCGCAGGAAGGACAGAUCACACCCUGGGCUGCCCACUCGGCGCAUCCCUUCGGACUGGGUCUACUUCCAUCCCUGCAAUUAAAUAAGCAAGUCUAAGCGCAUGAUGUUCCCACCUUCCGAGGAGCGAGGGCGGGAUCGCGACCCAGAGGCUUGGCAUUCUGAUGUCCUGCCAGGGCAGCCUUAAAAGAAGCGAUUCCCCGAGAGCCACCAGAGACCUUGUGUAGGGCAAUAAUUGAAUGAAAAGGCCGCGGAUGCAGAACUGUAUAGAAUAUUAAAAAAUGCGAAAGGAAGGUGCUAGUAAGUGCCGAUUCUCAGAGCCGAACAUAAUUUACGGGCUUUAUAGGUUUUGUUGAGAGAGAGCGUUGCACGUUUCAUUCUAAUCGCCCACCAGAGUCGUUUGGUUACGUCUGAGUUGCCAAGGAGUCGCUAACUGGAACACUUAUCGAGGUCUUUUGGUUGCUUUGGGUUUUGUUUUUUGUUCGACCACGUUACGUUUUUAAGAGACCUUAAAAGCCCUGGUUCCCACUGGGUUUCCAGCUUCCUAUGGGCAACCCUGGGACCUAAUGCACUGCGUGGAUAUCUGUGGCUGUGGACAAAUCACGGGGAUGACUGUCAACAGGGACACAUGUUUAACGUCAUCCACACAACUGUAUCGUAGUGUCUGUUUCUCUUCGUCUACACUCUUCCGCAAAUACCCCGAGGUAGUUUUAUCUUUGUGAAUACAUUGGAACUGAGCAUUUUAUUCAGUAAGUUCUUUUAGAUCAAAUAAUAAAUGAAUUUGAAAGCCGAUAAAUAUUCUAAGUAACUGGAAGUACGAAAUAAAAACAUGUCAUCUGGGUGAA